UACGGAGGAUCCAAGCGUUAUCCGGAUUUAUUGGGUUUAAAGGGUGCGUAGGCGGCCUGUUAAGUCAGAGGUGAAAGACGGUAGCUCAACUAUCGCAGUGCCUUUGAUACUGACGGGCUUGAAUAAACUAGAGGUAGGCGGAAUGAGACAAGUAGCGGUGAAAUGCAUAGAUAUGUCUCAGAACACCGAUUGCGAAGGCAGCUUACUAUGGUUUUAUUGACGCUGAGGCACGAAAGCGUGGGGGAUCAAAACAGG
rnacentral:rRNA from 1 species